UACGGAGGGUGCAAGCGUUGCUCGGAAUCAUUGGGCGUAAAGCGUACGCAGGCUGUUCGUUAAGUCGGGUGUGAAGGCCCGGGGCUCAACCCCGGAAAUGCGCCCGAAACUGGCGAGCUUGAGUGCGGGAGAGGGAAGCGGAAUUCCUGGUGUAGAGGUGAAAUUCGUAGAUAUCAGGAGGAACACCGGUGGCGAAAGCGGCUUGCUGGGCUGUAACUGACGCUGAGGAACGAAAGCCAGGGGAGCGAAUGGG
rnacentral:rRNA from 1 species